rnacentral:rRNA from 2 species
UGGGGAAUAUUGCACAAUGGAGGGAACUCUGAUGCAGCGACGCCGCGUGAACGAAGAAGGCUUUCGAGUCGUAAAGUUCUUUUAUAUGGGAAGAUAAUGACGGUACCAUAAGAAAAAGCCCCGGCUAACUACGUGCCAGCAGCCGCGGUAAUACGUAGGGGGCUAGCGUUGUCCGGAAUCACUGGGCGUAAAGGGUUCGCAGGCGGAAAUGCAAGUCAGGUGUAAAAGGCAGUAGCUUAACUACUGUAAGCAUUUGAAACUGCAUAUCUUGAGAAGAGUAGAGGUAAGUGGAAUUUUUAGUGUAGCGGUGAAAUGCGUAGAUAUUAAAAAGAAUACCGGUGGCGAAGGCGACUUACUGGGCUCAUUCUGACGCUGAGGAACGAAAGCGUGGGUAGCAGACAGG